CAUUGUUGAAACUGUGCCGGCGCUUACCACCUGAUCCCAUGCCGAACUCAGAAGUGAAACGCGGUAGCGCCGAUGGUAGUGUGGCAUUCGCCAUGCGAGAGUAGGACACUGUCAGGC
rnacentral:rRNA from 1 species